rnacentral:rRNA from 1 species
CGCACAGUAAACGAUGAAUACUAGCUGUUGGCGAUAUACAGUCAGUGGCACAGCGAAAGCGUUAAGUAUUCCACCUGGGGAGUACGCCGGCAACGGUGAAACUCAAAGGAAUUGACGGGG